CCGCCUCGGGACGGGCCGUCGUGGUAUUAGGUUGUUGGCGGGGUAACGGCCCACCAAGCCUCCGAUGCCUACCGGGCGUGCGAGCGCGGCCCGGCACACUGGGACUGAGACACUGCCCAG
rnacentral:rRNA from 1 species